AUGAAAAAAACUAACAAAAGUGAAGAAAAUAAAAUGCUUAUCUAUGACAAAUCUAACAAAAUAGGAUGCAUAUACUUUAUUGGUAUGAACAGUAAUUUUUACCGAGGCAAAAUGGUUCUCAAGAAAAAUAUUGUAAGUGAUAAGAUAGUUCGAUACACCAAUUUAAACGAUCACCUUAUGUUAAUAAUGAAAGGUGAUUAUAAUAUAAAACAAACAGCUAUACUAAUAAAAGGGAUAACAGUAUUUUUACACAGACAGUUAGAAAUAUUGCUUUCUGAUUUUUAUGCUAUGUAUAAAAAGUGUUUAUACAGUAAUUUCGAUGGUAAUACAAAUGAUAAAUUAGGUGGUAUAUUAAAAAAGUAUAAAACACAUAAAAAAUCAAAAAUAAAUAAAAAUCUAUUGUGUUUAAAAGAUGUUUCAGGUAGAAAUAAUACAACUACUGAUAUUUUUAUGAACAAGAAUAAUAAUUAUUUAACUAUAAAUAAAAAUGUAGCGAAUAUAAAUGAUAUUUUGUUAAGAGAUUAUAAUAAUGAUGAACAAAAUCAUGAUUAUAAUUUUAUGCAUGUCAGUGUAAAUAAUGAUGAUAAUUUUAUGUACCAAGAUAUAUUAACACACUCAUCAAUUGAGUAUUCCAAACUUAAUAAUUUUUAUACACUUAACAAUGACACACUAAUUUAUAAUGUAAAUACUAAAAAUAAUUCAAUUCAAAUGAAAACAGCAGAUUGUAGUAGCAAUACAAUGAUAAACUUUAAUUUAUUAGAUAAUAAAAAAGGAACUAUAAAUAUAGAUAAUAACAACUUUCUUAACAAUAGUUUGUGUGAUAGUAAACAUAUGGGAGAUAGUAAAAAAUUUUCAUUCAGUUUGAUAAAUAACAAUAGUUUGUUAAUGCACAAUACCAUUUUAAACAAUAAAUUAAAUAAUAACAUAGAAAAUGACGCUACUAACGCAUCUGCUAUACAAAACAACAUAAUUAAUAAAAAAAAUAAAAAUAAAAGAAACUUAUGUGAAAUUGAUCAAGUAAUUACAUUAAAUGAUAACAUAUGGCAAAUUGAUGCAACCACAAAAAAAAGAAAAAAAAAUAACAGUUUAUUUUAUGAUUAUUUAGAAGGAAUCGAACAUUUUCAAUGUUUUAUCAAUGACGCUAAUCAAAAAAACUCUCUCAAAAAAAGGAACAGUAACAAUAGUAAUCAAGACGAAUCAGCUUUCAAUUUCUAUAAACUAAAAAAUGACAAUAUAUUAGAUAAUAGAAAAGAAAUAUACAACAUGUUUAACCAAAGAGCAAUUGAAAAUGAAAAAUAUCACAUACAAGAAAACGGUAAUAAUUUUAUUCAAACGAAAACUACCCCAAGCACAAUAAAUGAAUCCAAACCUCCAAAAACUAAUGAAACAAAUUUCGAAGAAUUAAGAGGCACUUAUUUUAACGAAAAUUAUUUUUUUAAAAUGGAAAUAGAAAACCAUUCAAAAAAAGGAAAAUAUACUGACCAGUCAUCAAAUCAUUUUAUUAUGAAUUUUGAAGAAGAUGAUAUCGAUUAUAAUUUUGAUAAUAUAAGUAGUAAUGAACGAAAUAAAAAUAUGGAACGAAAAUUAAAUCAAAAUAAUUUAAAAACUAAUAACCAAAAUAUAAAAAACGUAAAUAAUAGUAAUAAUCAUAUAAAUGAUCAAAUUGAUCAAUGUAGUAGUUUUUUCAGUGAUAAUUUAAAUAACUCACUUAGUGUCCCAUCUAGUAAACUGGCCGCAAAAAGAUCCACUACCUCUUCUUUAAAUAAAUAUGAUGAAGAAUUAGCAAAAUUAAAAAAUUAUUUAUAUAAAAUAAAAGAACAAAAUCCAAAAACCAUUGAAUUCGAGCGUAUAUUCCCUAAAGAAAAAAUAUCAGAUAAAAAUAUAGCUUCAGUAUUUUAUAAUCUACUUGUUCUCGCAGCAAAUGACGAAGUCGAACUAACACAAACGUAUCCAGACAACACCAUUUUUAUUGAAGUAUAUUAA
ensembl:lncRNA